rnacentral:rRNA from 1 species
CUAGACGAAGCAGUUGAGAGCUGCACCAGAGGGGGUGAGAGUCCCGUAGUCGAAAGUGGAAGGAUACUAGCUGGAUCCCGAGUAGCGUGGGGCACGUGAAAUCCCGCGUGAAUCAGCGAGGACCAUCUCGUAAGGCUAAAUACUCCUGUGUGACCGAUAGUGAAGAGUACCGCGAGGGAAAGGUG